UACGUAGGGAGCAAGCGUUGUUCGUAUUCAUUGGGCGUAAAGGGCGCGUAGGUGGCGACCCAAGUCGAUGGUGAAAGCUCGCCGCUCAACGGCGAGUCGGCCACUGAUACUGGGUUGCUGGAGCACUGUAGAGGCAGAUGGAAUUCCGGGUGUAGCGGUGGAAUGCGUAGAGAUCCGGAAGAACACCGGUGGCGAAGGCGGUCUGCUGGGCAGUUGCUGACACUGAGGCGCGACAGCGUGGGGAGCAAACAGGG
rnacentral:rRNA from 1 species